GAAGAGAACGCCCUUGGGGCGGAGCCACGGCGGGCUGCGCGGAAAGGGCUGGGUGUAGUAAAAUGCAGAGACGCCCUGGGCCCAGGGCGGGCGAGGCGCGAGUACCAGUCCAUCCUUCUGGCGCGCGUCCCUGCACUGCGCCUGCGCGGCCUCUCUCGAGUCCGAGUCCACCGCUCCUGGUCAUAACUGAGGCGCCUGUGACCCGCGCGACAGGGUCUUGCUGUGUAAUUUAGGCUGUCUUCGAACUCAAGGCAAUCCUCCUGUCUCAGUUUUCCGAGUGCUGGGAUUACAGGUAUGCUGGAAUUUGUUCUCUCUACUUUCUCAGGCUGACCUGGAACUUGAUCUUCCUAUCUCAGCUUCCUGAGUUGCUGGAAUGAUAGGAUGCUUGGCAUAUCAAAGCUUGCUGGGGAAACAAGAGGGACCUGUUAAUUACAAGAUCCCAGGGCAGCACCAAACAAUUCUCAGGACCCCAUAUGUGGAACUUCUUGAGAGCUCUCGUGAGAUGUGAAUGGUAUAAAAGAUGAGAUCAUGGGGAGCCCGCUCUUGUGACUCUUCAUGGUAGCCUACUCUGCGUCUGAUGUAGAGUGUCCUUUUAUUUUUGGUUUUAUCCUUUCCUCUCUUUGGCCCAAGUUCACUAUACAGAGCUAGUUUUUCCCUUAACCCAUUCACCCUGCACUUUUAAAAUAAACUUGACAAUUUUUGGCUUGUCUCUGUUUGCUUGAGGCAAGAAGGACCCAAAGUACAUUUAAUUGGUGAACCAUUUCUAAAGGAACUACCCAACAAUGAUAUAAUAUCAGAUUACAAAUUGUAAACAAUAGUUCCCAUGCUCAUAGAUUCUUAGGCAUUGUUAAAAAUCUUCCAUUGGUUAGAAAUGCUUGGUGUAAUGUACUUCUAUGUAGACUCAAUAUGUAUGGCUCAGAAACCAAUAGGAAACAGAUGAGGGAUCACAAAGCAGAUAAGCAAGGAGAUAUUUAUAAAGGGGCUGUUUACAAAGGUAUAGGAAGGGACUGAGAUGUAGCUCAGUGUUAAAGUGCUUGCCUCAUAUAUGUGAGGCUCUGGAUUCAAUCCCAGCA